rnacentral:lncRNA from 1 species
CCCUCCCUCUCCACUAUUUUAUUGAAGAUCCGCACUUAUUCAUACUAGUUUUCGAACUUGUGACACGUUAACAAACUAUUCACCAAAAAAAUGUCAUGUCUGACCAUCAUCAGACAUGCUGGGUUCUUAUUAGAUCGAGGUGAGGAAAACAUACCAAAGACAUGUUUCGUUAAGGGGAGCUGCACUUUGGAAUAGGAAUAAGAACGAGUGACUUCCAUUCCAGCGAUUUGAUUGAGGGGAGUUGCAUUUCCAUUCCAAUUCUAGGAAAAAUCGAAAAUACCCUAAUUCCCAAAAUCCAAUCUCUAUUCCUUCUCAAUAUUCAAAGCUCAUUCUGAUUCCGAUUUUGUCAGUGAAGCAAAAGUAUUGUGGGAUAUGGCGAUUCCAAUUUCCGUUCCAAUCUAUUCCGAUUCUGGCUUUGACCAUGAACCAAAUGUGACCUAAGUGUAUUUGAACCUCUAUUAUAAUAAUGCCAUGGGAAUGCACAAUUCAUACAGUAGAAAGGAUGACAACAAGAAAAACAAAAUGCAGCAACAUGCCCUAUCACAAUUUACCAUGGAAAACAAAGUAAAACUAGGAGAGCAAACAAACUACACUUCAAUAACAAAGAUGACACAACAUUCAAAUCUCCUUUGAUUUUGGUCUCCUUUUCUUUUCUGAUCCUCUAACAUCUAAUCUGAAGCCUCUGAUUAUUUGGGUCCUUCUUGUCGGGCCCCUUCUCACUGUCUAACACUUACCAACAGAUCUUAGAAUAUAAAUUUCCUUCUAAAUCAUACCUGAUGUUUUACUGGACAAACCAAAGCACAACUGUGCUUCAUCUGCAACGUAUUGGCAGAAUUCUCAUCAAUCUCUCCACCC